UACGUAGGUCCCAAGCGUUGUCCGGAUUUAUUGGGCGUAAAGCGAGCGCAGGCGGUUGUAUAAGUCUGAAGUAAAAGGCAUUGGCUCAACCAAUGUUCGGUGUGGAAACUAUAAAACUUGAGUAGAUGAGGGGCAAGUGGAAUUCCUAGUGUAGCGGUGAGAUGCUUAGAUAUUAGGAGGAAUACCAGUGGCGAAGGCGACUUGCUGGAAUCUAACUGACGCUGAGGUACGAAAGCGUGGGGAGCAAACAGG
rnacentral:rRNA from 1 species